UUUAAAGCUGGUGCAGCCUUUCUGGAGGGCC
rnacentral:piRNA from 1 species